rnacentral:rRNA from 1 species
UCAGGAUGAACGCUAGCGGCAGGCUUAACACAUGCAAGUCGAGGGGCGAACGCGAGUAGCAAUACUUGGCGGCGACCGGCGCAAGGGUGCGUAGCGCGUGAGCAACAUGCCCGUAUCAGGGGGAUAAUCCAGGGAAACUUGGUCUAAUACCCCAUAGUAAUUUUGUAAGGCAUCUUAUAAGAUUUAAAGCUUUGGUGGAUACGGAUUGGCUCGCGUGACAUUAGCUGGAUGGUAAGGUAACGGCUUACCAUGGCUAUGAUGUCUAGGGGUUCUGAGAGGAAGGUCCCCCACACUGGAACUGAGACACGGUCCAGACUCCUACGGGAGGCAGCAGUGAGGAAUAUUGGACAAUGGAUGGAAAUCUGAUCCAGCCAUGCCGCGUGAAGGAAAAGAAGGUCCUAUGGAUUGUAAACUUCUUUUGUAUGGGAGCAAUAAGGCCUACGAGUAGGUUGAUGAGAGUACCAUACGAAUAAGCACCGGCUAACUCCGUGCCAGCAGCGGC